CAACCCUCAAGCCUGGCUUGGUGUUGGGGCCCUGCGCCUGCAGGCCAUUAAAUUCAGUGGCGGACACGCUAGGUCUCCGAGCGCAGUACUUCUUCUCGCUUCGGGCGUCCGGCGUGGGCUUGCCUCGCACCCCAUUUUAUCAA
rnacentral:misc_RNA from 1 species